UGAGGAUGAUGAGGGAAAUUUCUAAGCACACCCUUAAAUCUUUCCUAAUCUUGGUUAAUAUUUUCUCCUUCUUUCUUCCUGAAACUUAAAAUGUUGCUUCUUAAACA